UGUUGGGUUAAGUCCCGCAACGAGCGCAACCCUCGUCCUAUGUUGCCAGCACGUAAUGGUGGGGACUCAUAGGAGACUGCCGGGGUCAACUCGGAGGAAGGUGGGGAUGACGUCAAGUCAUCAUGCCCCUUAUGUCCAGGGCUUCACGCAUGCUACAAUGGCCGGUACAAAGGGCUGCGAUACCGCAAGGUGGAGCGAAUCCCAAAAAGCCGGUCUCAGUUCGGAUUGGGGUCUGCAACUCGACCCCAUGAAGUCGGAGUCGCUAGUAAUCGCAGAUCAGCAACGCUGCGGUGAAUACGUUCCCGGGCCUUGUACACACCGCCCGUCACGUCACGAAAGUCGGCAACACCCGAAGCCGGUGGCCUAACCCUUGUGG
rnacentral:rRNA from 1 species